GCGGUAGUCCUAUCAGAUCGCUUCCAUUCGCUAGCCCAUGCUACAGCAGCCACUAGCCUGCUCCGUUGCGGACAGCUGCCGAGCACGGCUGCACUGAAGCAUGCUAUUGAUGGGUCACGGCAAGAAGCUGAUGGUGAACACCGAGAAGAUUGAAGUGUUUCAGAGGUUUAAAAUGUCCGGAAAGGAGCAGCACAGUCUUUCGGAUAUAAACUUAUGGAAAAGAUGGCAAGGUGAAGGAUACAGGAUGAGUGUCGACGCUUCUCCAGAUGGUGUUUGCACUGUGGGAUGAGGUAGUAGGUUGUGUAGUUUUAGGGUCACACCCACACUGGGAGAUAACUAUACAGCCUACUGUCUUUCUCAGGGUGGCGAGGGAGCACCUGCACAUCUCAUCGUGUGUUGGGAAUGCAGUAUCAUAAGAUAUAGGGGUGAAUAAAACCCAAUUAGUUGAUGGACGUCGACGUUCAUGCCUGUUAAAAGAUUAUGCUUUCACAGUGUGAGGUAGUAGAUUGUAUAGUUGUGGGAUAGUGAUUUUAUCCUGUCUGGAAGAUAACUAUACAACCUAUUGCCUUCCCUGAGGGGCGGAGAUUCACAGUCAGUUUACCUCUUUAAAAUGAACUGUUUGUUAACGAAUAAAUAUAUUAUUUUAUUUGUGUAUGUAAGUGCUUGUGUGUUUCUGAAUUAAUAAAUGCCAUUCAUUGUG